AUGCUCAUUGCUCAGAUUGAGGACAAGAUUAGGUUGCUGCGCCAAGAUGAUGGCAUGUCAGUGAUGACAUACGUGGCAGAACUCGUGGUAGGUCACUGGAAGAGAGAAUGUCCAACUCGUGGCAGAGGCAGGGGAUAUAACAGAGGGGGAACAGGCAGAGGUAGAAGUGCUAGAGGCAGAGGUGGAUACUCAGAGACCUCAUGGGGCCAGGCUUCUAGAGGCAGAGGUGGCUACUCAGGACACUCAGGGGGUCAGAGGGCUCACAUGGCCGUUGCAGGAGACACUGGGACGUCCAAAGGCAAAGAUGUAGAUGAUGUUGUCUAUGGAGACUUUGCUCACUGGGCCUCCACUGAUGAAGGUAAUCCGGAAAGAGCAUCUCUUGCUACUAAUGAGAGUGCUCCAGAGUGGGUUCUUGACUCUGGAGCAUCUAAGCAUGUUGCUAGUAACUCCUGUGUGUUCGAGUCUUACACUAAGCAUCCUCCCUCUCACACGGGCACUAUACAAACGGCUGAUGGCACAAAACAACCAGUCAUAGGGGUUGGUACAGUCAAGUGUACUCCGACCAUUAACCUAUCGUCAGUUUUACAUGUGCCAGCCUUUCCUGUCAAUUUGGUCUCUUUCAGUGCACUCAUUGAUCAAAUGGACUGUCGUGUGAUCCUUGACAAGUUUGGUUGCUUGAUUCAGGUGCGACAGACGAGCCAGACGGUUGGGACUGGCACCAGGCGUAGGGGGCUCUGGUACAUGGACCAGGAGGUGCAGCCGGACUUGGUGUGUGCUGCGACCAUAGAGGAUAAGGAGAAGCAGGCGAUGAUCCAUCACUGUAGGAUGGGGCAUGUAUCUUUUGAUAAGAUGAGUAGAAUAUUUCCGGAUGUUAUGUGUGGAAUAGGCAAAGGCAAGCUGACAUGUGAUGCUUGUGAAUAUGCAAAACACACACUGGCCUCAUAUGUGAGUAAGGGACUCAGGAGCAUAUCUCCUUUAUGCUUAUUCAUUCGGAUGUAUGGACUAGCCCAGUGGUGUCAAUGA
rnacentral:rRNA from 1 species